rnacentral:rRNA from 1 species
CAGGCUUAACACAUGCAAGUCGAGGGGCAGCAUGGUCUUAUCUUGCUAAGGCCGAUGGCGACCGGCGCACGGGUGAGUAACGCGUAUCCAACCUGCCUUACACUCUUGGACAGCCUUCUGAAAGGGAGAUUAAUACAAGAUGUUAUCAUGAGUAAGCAUUUUCGCAUGAUUAAAGGUUUACCGGUGUAAGAUGGGGAUGCGUUCCAUUAGAUAGUAGGCGGGGUAACGGCCCACCUAGUCUUCGAUGGAUAGGGGUUCUGAGAGGAAGGUCCCCCACAUUGGAACUGAGACACGGUCCAAACUCCUACGGGAGGCAGCAGUGAGGAAUAUUGGUCAAUGGACGAGAGUCUGAACCAGCCAAGUAGCGUGAAGGAUGAAGGUUCUAUGGAUUGUAAACUUCUUUUAUACGGGAAUAAACGAAUCCACGCGUGGAUUUUUGCAUGUACCGUAUGAAUAAGGAUCGGCUAACUCCGUGCCAGCAGCCGCGGUAAUACGGAGGAUCCGAGCGUUAUCCGGAUUUAUUGGGUUUAAAGGGAGCGUAGAUGGGUUGUUAAGUCAGUUGUGAAAGUUUGCGGCUCAACCGUAAAAUUGCAAUUGAUACUGGCAGUCUUGAGUACAGUUGAGGUAGGCGGAAUUCGUGGUGUAGCGGUGAAAUGCUUAGAUAUCACGAAGAACUCCGAUUGCGAAGGCAGCUUACUAACCUGUAACUGACAUUGAUGCUCGAAAGUGUGGGUAUCAAACAGGAUUAGAUACCCUGGUAGUCCACACGGUAAACGAUGAAUACUCGCUGUAGGCGAUAUACAGUCUGCGGCCAAGCGAAAGCAUUAAGUAUUCCACCUGGGGAGUACGCCGGCAACGGUGAAACUCAAAGGAAUUGACGGGGGCCCGCACAAGCGGAGGAACAUGUGGUUUAAUUCGAUGAUACGCGAGGAACCUUACCCGGGCUUAAAUUGCAACCGAAUAUGGCGGAAACGCUAUAGCUAGCAAUAGCGGUUGUGAAGGUGCUGCAUGGUUGUCGUCAGCUCGUGCCGUGAGGUGUCGGCUUAAGUGCCAUAACGAGCGCAACCCUUGCCGAUAGUUACUAACAGGUCAUGCUGAGGACUCUGUCGGGACUGCCAUCGUAAGAUGUGAGGAAGGUGGGGAUGACGUCAAAUCAGCACGGCCCUUACGUCCGGGGCUACACACGUGUUACAAUGGGGGGUACAGAGGGCUGCUACCACGCAAGUGGAUGCCAAUCCCAAAAACCUCUCUCAGUUCGGAUUGAAGUCUGCAACCCGACUUCAUGAAGCUGGAUUCGCUAGUAAUCGCGCAUCAGCCACGGCGCGGUGAAUACGUUCCCGGGCCUUGUACACACCGCCCGUCAAGCCAUGGGAGCCGGGGGUACCUGAAGUGCGUAACCGCAAGGAGCGCCCUAGGGUAAAACUGGUGACUG